rnacentral:rRNA from 1 species
GGCAGACGGGUGAGUAACACGUGGGAACCUUCCCAACAGUACGGAAUAGCCCAGGGAAACUUGGAGUAAUACCGUAUAUUCCCGUGAGGGGAAAGAUUUAUCGCUGUUGGAUGGGCCCACGUCGGAUUAGCUAGUUGGUGAGGUAACGGCUCACCAAGGCGACGAUCCGUAGCUGGUUUGAGAGAAUGACCAGCCACACUGGGACUGAGACACGGCCCAGACUCCUACGGGAGGCAGCAGUGGGGAAUCUUGGACAAUGGGCGCAAGCCUGAUCCAGCCAUGCCGCGUGAGUGACGAAGGCCUUAGGGUUGUAAAGCUCUUUUGCCGGGGACGAUAAUGACGGUACCCGGAGAAUAAGUCCCGGCUAACUUCGUGCCAGCAGCCGCGGUAAUACGAAGGGGACUAGCGUUGUUCGGAAUUACUGGGCGUAAAGCGCACGUAGGCGGAUUUGUCAGUCAGGGGUGAAAUCCCGGGGCUCAACCUCGGAACUGCCUUUGAUACAGCAAGUCUCGAGUCCGAUAGAGGUGGGUGGA